rnacentral:rRNA from 1 species
UACGGGGGGGCAAGCGUUGUUCGGAAUUACUGGGCGUAAAGCGCGCGUAGGCGGCUUUUCAAGUCAGACGUGAAAGCCCAGGCUUAACCUGGGAAUUGCGUUUGAUACUGUUAGGCUAGAGUGUGGAAGGGGCUACUGGAAUUCCGUGUGGUAGCGGUGAAUGCGUAGAUAUACGGAGGAACACCAGCGGCGAAGGCGGGUAGCUGGCCAACACUGACGCUGAUGCGCGAAGCUAGGGUAGCAACGGG